ACGAAAUUAACUUCGUGAUGUCCGGUGAUGCAAUUUGCAAUUUGGCGGUUAAUCUGAGGAUUCCCAAGUUGAUCAAGUUCACUUCGAACUGAUCCGUGGAAGAGGCAGGAGUGGCCCAAAGUUCUCGCGCCGUGGUGUCUUGUAAUAGUUGUAGCUAUCAGUAAUUGUGUGUGCUAUUGUGAAAAGGCGGUGUGUUAUCGUGUGUGGCUUCGUGCAAUUAAAGGUUUCUUGCCAAGCCGUUAAUCCGUCCGUGGCACCGCAACCGAACUCCCAGUGGCCAUUUCUGACCCCACUGUCAGGCUCAGAAGUUCUCCCGGGACACGCCGGAAGAGGGACGCUUCCGUUUUUCUACGCUCCCUAGGCAGGACGAAUCAGCAAGCGCAAUCGCAUUUCCGUUCCCCUAGUGACGACUAGGGAAACCUCGACGCACGUGUCGCGUCGCGCGCAAAUCGAGUAAGUUUCCGAUGUUCGAGUGAACCGACCGCCAACCAGCAGCAGAAAGGCAAGCAGCCUACCCCCGGCGGCAACAGAGCUUCAUCGCCGAACGAGAGAGCAGCAGCGAAUUCACCGCCACCCCCUUUCCGUUCAUCCGGCGGCGGCAACAUCGUCACCGAAGAAGGUCUGUGAGUACCCACCCAUUUAACAUUCAUGCGCAUGACAAGUUAAUUCACGCCGCAACAUAGCUUACGUUGCGUGGCGUGCACGGCCGUUUUUAUAAGACCGUGAAUUGAACAUUCCGUGAAUCGAAAACCCGUUGCGUUCGCAGGGCGAACGAGA